rnacentral:rRNA from 1 species
GUGGGGAAUAUUGGACAAUGGGCGAAAGCCUGAUCCAGCCAUGCCGCGUGAGUGAUGAAGGCCCUAGGGUUGUAAAGCUCUUUCACCGGGGAAGAUAAUGACGGUACCCGGAGAAGAAGCCCCGGCUAACUUCGUGCCAGCAGCCGCGGUAAUACGAAGGGGGCUAGCGUUGUUCGGAAUUACUGGGCGUAAAGGGCGCGUAGGCGGACAGUUUAGUCAGAGGUGAAAGCCCAGGGCUCAACCUUGGAAUUGCCUUUGAUACUGGCUGUCUUGAGUACGGGAGAGGUGAGUGGAACUCCGAGUGUAGAGGUGAAAUUCGUAGAUAUUCGGAGGAACACCAGUGGCGAAGGUGGCUCACUGGCUCGAUACUGACGCUGAGGUGCGAAAGCGUGGGGAGCAAACAGGAUUAGAUACCCUUGUAGUCC